AUGGUGUCCGGCUCCGGCGUGUGCGCCAAGCGCGUGGUGGUGGACGCCCGCCACCACAUGCUCGGCCGCCUGGCGUCGAUCGUCGCCAAGGAGCUGCUAAACGGGCAGCGUGUGGUGGUGGUCCGCUGCGAGGAGAUCUGCAUGUCCGGCGGCCUCGUCCGCCAGAAGAUGAAGUACCUCCGCUUCCUCCGCAAGAGGAUGAACACCAAGCCCUCCCACGGCCCCAUCCACUUCCGCGCCCCCGCCAAGAUCCUCUGGCGCACCAUCCGCGGUAUGAUUCCGCACAAGACCGCGAGGGGCGAGGCCGCGCUCGCCAGGCUCAAGGCGUACGAGGGCGUGCCGCCGCCGUACGACAGGACCAAGCGCAUGGUCAUCCCCGACGCGCUCAAGGUUCUGAGGCUGCAGCCUGGGCACAGGUACUGCCUCCUCGGCCAGCUCUCCAAGGAGGUCGGAUGGAACUACGCCGACACCAUCAGGGAGCUGGAGGAAAAGAGGAAGGAGAAGGCCAAGGUCUCCUACGACAGGAGAAAGCAACUGGCCAAGCUCCGCGUCAAGGCCGAGAAGGCAGCCGAGGAGAAGUUGGGAACUCAGCUGGAGAUCCUGGCUCCGAUCAAAUACUAA
rnacentral:rRNA from 1 species